rnacentral:lncRNA from 1 species
UUAGAAGAAACCCUAGAUUUGUCGAACAAAUUCUACUAAAACCAUUUCUGAACUCAAAAGAAGUUUUAUCAUCAACCGCAGAAUUAACUGCCCCACAAGCAGUUCUUUGGAAUAACUAUGAGAUUGUUUUUGUAUACUGUAAUCUUAUGUUAUUUUUAGUUUUCUUCAUCUUCAUUUUUAUCCAGUUCUUCUACAGUCAUACAACCGAAAAUAACACUGAAAUAAACCACUGAAUAAACAGAAACACAAAUACACCAAUAUUUCAUGAAAUAAUAAAUAAGAAAAUGCAGGAAAAUUAGAAAUAGAAAUCCCUUAUCACAACUGUUAUCCAGUUUCAGGCACAAGUGUAGCAUCCUCUUGCAUUAGUUUCCUCUUCUCUCAGAUGUAAAUCAAAACCACUCCACGGAUACUAAUCAUUCAGUUUCUCCACAUAUGAUUCAAAAAUAAAAUCCCACAGGCAAUUUCACAAUGAAAGCAUACGAAAAGAUAAUACUACUCUUUUUAUAAAAAAAAUAAAAGAAGGGAAGAUGUAUUAAUGUGAUGCGCUAAGGGAUCAUCACCCAUUUACAAAAAAUUUACAUGUCACCUUCUUUCUUUUUCUUAAAGGCCUUGUAUAUUUCUACUCUCAGACAAGGUUUAACAGACGUGCGAGACACCGACGAUUAGUAGUUUAGGGGUUUUAUGAACUAAGGCUUUGCAGUGCCAGGAGCCCGCCUGGAUACCCUUCACACUGCAUACCUAACCACCGUUCAGCCACCCUCUUCCAGGGUGGUAGCGGGGACCUGCCAGGCCAGCGAGUCCAAGGAGGGGUCUAAUGAACUAAGGCUUUGGAGUGCCGGGAGCCCGCCUGGAUACCCUUCACACUGCAUACCUAACCGCCGUUCAACCACCCUCUUUCAGGGUGGUAGCGGGAACCCGCAGGGCCAGUGAAUUCAAAAAGAUAAUACUACUCUUAUAUGGUUGGUUCAAAUCUAAUCCUGCAAAUACAACCUAGACAGAAAACCGAAAGAUUAACAUGAUAAUAUACUACUUUUUCUAUACAUUCAUGCAUCAAAAAGCCUAGUGAGCACCCAAAAGUCAUGAGGCCUUUCUACAAACAGUUGAUUACCAAACAAAGGAAACCAAAGUUGUUUUAGUUUAAAUUAUCCAAUUCCGACCAGAUAAUCAAAAAAGAAAUACUAGAAAGUGGAAGGUAAGCUUGUUGACAUACGCUGAGCUAUUCAAGAGGAAACGAACAUCACCAUAU